GGAGGAAUACCCAAGUCCGGCUGAAGGGAUCGGUCUUGAAAACCGACAGGCGGGUCAUACCGCGCGGGGGUUCGAAUCCCUCUUCCUCCGCCA
rnacentral:tRNA from 1 species